GCAAGUCGAGCGAGAAAGCCCUUCGGGGUGAGUACAGCGGCGGACGGGUGAGUAACGCGUAGGAAUCUACCCAGUAGUGGGGGACAACUAGUGGAAACGCUAGCUAAUACCGCAUACGCCCUAAGGGGGAAAGCGGGGGAUCUUCGGACCUCGUGCUAUUGGAUGAGCCUGCGUAAGAUUAGCUUGUUGGUGAGGUAAUGGCUCACCAAGGCGACGAUCAGUAUCUGGUUUGAGAGGACGAUC
rnacentral:rRNA from 1 species